CUAAAAGAGGAAUUGCUAGCUGAGAACAAGACUGCCGUGGAUAAGAUCUGGGACCUUCGAGAUAUCAUACAGUCUCUGGAAUCCCAGCUGGAUGCCAAAUGCGUGCAAGAGCUUGAGGUAAACACCCAGGUUGAGUCCUUAAAAUCACCCUUGCGCAGGCACAGCGUCACUCCUUGGAUCUCACUCAACAGCUUCAGGUGAUUGAAGACAGGCUGGACAGAACUACAAGAGGCCUUGAGGCUCUGCAACUAUCCAUCUCCUCCGCCUCUCAGUCUGAGGAAGACUUGUCUGUCAAAGAUCGCCUGGACAUCCCAUCUUUACGUGAGCUGGAAAGCAGCAGAGCCUUGUCUCCAUCCGCUCUGGACAGGCGACUGGAGGAUAAGUUGGUGAUGCUAGAGCGCACCACAGAAGCAGCAGUGAAGCGCACACGGGUCCUAGAGAUGACUGUCUAAAAUCUGAGGCUGGAUCUAGAUGAGGCAAUAAUAGAGCGAGAUGCCCUCCAAGAGCGGUCAAGUGACCAGCUCGUUCAAAUCUCAAGCCUGGAAGCACGGCUGGAUGAGCUCAGGAGGUCAGACCAUCCA